UUGUUAUGUAACUGCAUCAUGUUGCCCAUCAUGAGGGAAAAAAACAACAAAAAGACAACACUGUUUUAGUAAGAAAUUUAAAUCAAAACAGCCACAAAAUAACAAACACAUUGAAAUGACAAUGCAAUAAUAAUAAAAAAAGAAUCUUUGUUGCCUGAAAGCAACACUAUGCCACAGAGGCUAACAGGUUAACAGAGGCUAGACACUAGUGGUCAGUUACCUCAGCUUGCUAAAGCUAAGCUAGACUCUAUCAGCUUGUAUCUUUUAAGUGAUUAACAGUCAGUCUGUGUCUGUAAAGAUGUAGUUACCCAUACUAAGUGUGAAAAGUACCUUUAUUUUAUUUUCAGUUUAUUAGAACAGAGUUUAUUAACAGAUUUCAACUUGUCGUUUAUUAGCUUCUUGACACCAAGAAGCUAACGCUAGCUACACGACACCGGGAGAGAGAGAUGCAUGAGAGUAAACCUCCCUGAGUUAGCUUAGCUGCCUGAGAUGGCCACUACUGAGACCUCUGUGUGAAGGACCCCACCAGUCUUCAUCUGGCAUGAGCGGUGGAAGAGAAACUCAAUGUGGAGGAACACCAUAAGUAAUCUUUACACAUCAAGAAAUCCACAUGACCCACCAUGUUCAACAAAAGACCAUCCUCAGUGCAGCAAAAUGCCAGAAUCCUCAGAGAGACUGAAGAGAAUGCUAGGAUUCUGGAGCCACGUUGGAAGCUGCAGCUUAGAUAUCCUAAUCUGACCUCCCUGCUGAUGCCUGCAGGUGAUAACUCAAAUGAGCACUUGUGGUACGCCCAUCUGGAUCAACAUGGUCAUGAUCAAAGGCUACUUCAGUGUAAUAAUGGCGAGGCUCACAGAUGCUAUCAGUGGCCAGAAAACCAUGCCCUGCUCUCGAGAUCAAAGGCCUCCUUCUGAAACCUCACUAUGCUGAUUAUGCUUCAUUUGUUGCCGUUGGUUGGAGACUCCUUUUGGCCUUUUUCCAUGAGGCUAUCAAAUGAGACGGAGUAGAACUGUGCCAAGACACUAGAGACAGCACCAGAGCUUUGGACUCGGACACACUUCCUCCUCAUGUUCACUAACAAGCCACAGUAUCCUUUUCAGUGUGCAUGUCUGAGAGAGAGAAAGAGAGAGAGAGAGAGAGAGAGAAAAAGAAGGGCAGGACAGGAAACAAGUCUACCUAUAGCUGCUUUAAAUUCACUGUGUUAGACUUAUGUUAUUUUAAUUCUGGGUCAUAAAUAACUAACCUGAUUUUUUUUUAUGUAGCUGGAGGCAAGAUGGCUCCAAACACAAUAAUCAUUAGUAGCUUAGUAUAAAAAAUCAAAACAGGUUAGUGGUGAUCAAAUGGUUAACAGUUCAUUGCAGACCUGGAAUGCAAGUGUUUCAGACACAUCAGAGGACAUCCUACUUAUUCCAGCCCGCUGAGCUUUAGCCCUGCUAAGGUGACUGAAGUAGAGCUCACUGAUGCAGCACACACACACACACACACAGACACACACACACUGCCAUCCACUGUUACAGUUUUUUUUUUUCUCAAAUGCACAGAUGGCACAGAUCUCAACAGAAAAUGACUGACUGUUACUGAAACAAUGUGUGAAAAGCUCCACAUCAGCAGUUCAUUUGCGGACAGCUCUGCAUGCUUUCCUCAUUCAUUUCCUACAUUUUUGCA
rnacentral:lncRNA from 1 species